UUUAACUUGAGAGUUUGAUCCUGGCUCAGAAUCAACGCUGGCGGCGUGCCUAAUACAUGCAAGUCGUACGCGAAAGCGGCCUUCGGGUCGUAAGUAGAGUGGCAAACGGGUGAGUAUCGCGUGGGUGACCUGCCUUCGAGUGGGGGAUAACCUUCCGAAAGGGGGGCUAAUACCGCAUAACAUCCUACCCUUGGAUGGGUGGUGAUCAAAGCCGGGGAUCGCAAGACCUGGCGCUUGUAGAGGGACCCGCGUCCGAUUAGCUUGUUGGUGGGGUAACGGCCUACCAAGGCGACGAUCGGUAGCCGGCCUGAGAGGGCGGACGGCCACACUGGGACUGAGACACGGCCCAGACUCCUACGGGAGGCAGCAGUGGGGAA
rnacentral:rRNA from 1 species